rnacentral:rRNA from 1 species
CAGCAGCCGCGGUAAUACAGAGGGUGCAAGCGUUAAUCGGAAUUACUGGGCGUAAAGCGUGCGUAGACGGUUACAUAAGUCGGGUGUGAAAGCCCCGGGCUCAACCUGGGAAUUGCAUUCGAGACUGCGUAGCUAGGGUGCGGAAGAGGGAAGCGGAAUUUCCGGUGUAGCGGUGAAAUGCGUAGAUAUCGGAAGGAACACCAGUGGCGAAAGCGGCUUCCUGGUCCAGCACCGACGUUCAGGCACGAAAGCGUGGGGAGCAAACAGGAUUAGAUACCCUGGUAGUCCACGCCUUAAACGAUGGGCACUAGACGUUGAAGGGGUAAGCCCUCCAGUGUCGUAGCUAACGCGCUAAGUGCCCCGCCUGGGGAGUACGGCCGCAAGGUUGAAACUCAAAUAAAUUGACGG